AGUUUGAUCCUGGCUCAGGAUGAACGCUGGCGGCGUGCUUAACACAUGCAAGUCGAACGGAGUGCUCAUGACGGAGGAUUCGUCCAACGGAUUGAGUUACUUAGUGGCGGACGGGUGAGUAACGCGUGAGGAACCUGCCUCGGAGUGGGGAAUAACAGCCCGAAAGGGUUGCUAAUACCGCAUGAUGCAGUUGGGCCGCAUGGCUCUGACUGCCAAAGAUUUAUCGCUCUGAGAUGGCCUCGCGUCUGAUUAGCUAGUUGGCGGGGUAACGGCCCACCAAGGCGACGAUCAGUAGCCGGACUGAGAGGUUGACCGGCCACAUUGGGACUGAGACACGGCCCAGACUCCUACGGGAGGCAGCAGUGGGGAAUAUUGGGCAAUGGGCGCAAGCCUGACCCAGCAACGCCGCGUGAAGGAUGAAGGCUUUCGGGUUGUAAACUUCUUUUAUUCGGGACGAAACAAAUGACGGUACCGAAUGAAUAAGCCACGGCUAACUACGUGCC
rnacentral:rRNA from 1 species